UAAGUACUUGGAAUAUAUAAUAUACACUCAAUUAUGGGUUCCGUUUUUUCUUACUAGAAAUCUAUGGCUUGCCUUCCAAGAAACUCAGUUUAUCCAGGAUUCUUCCAGCAAGUCUGCCACGGGGUACAAGGAUGGAUGGGCAUUUUUAACAACACCUCAAGUGAUGCUGAAGCUGCUGUUCUGGAAACUACACUCUGAGAAUCGACUGGCUUGGCUUAAAUCCUUCUGGAAUCACUGACACUGGCAACGUGCAGAGAAGUAGCAGCCGGGUUCAGCCGUCUGAUUCAGAUCCUCUCAGGAGAGAGCAUAACACCUGGGAAUGGAUAAUGCAUAAAGAAAAUAAAUUUAUUUCUUAAAGUUGUAGAGAAGUCCCAGACUGAUGGAGCCACAUCUGGAUCCCCUCCAACACAUCACAUCACACUUGUAUCUCCAUGGGCCCCUCUUGGCUGGGACAGUUUCUCAGUUUGUUUUCUCACCUUGUUUCUGGUGAUAACAAUUUUGAGGAACAUGAGGAGGUAUUUUGUAGAAUGUCUCUCAAUUGAGAUUUAAUGUUCUUCUAAUGAUUAUUAUGUGCUUUGUAGAAAAAGAGUUAAAGUGCCAUUUCUAUCAGAUCACAGGAUGCCUGUACCUACAAGCCAUGUACAUGCUAUGAACAUGAAUUACCAUUGCUGAUUUUAACUUUGGUCACCUGGAUGAGGUAGUUUUUAUCAGGUUUAUUGACUGUAGGUUUGCUCUUUUUCUCCCACCACUCUCACCCUGCCUCUAUCCAUUACACUUUAUGGAAGGAAGUCACUGCACAAAGGCCCCACAUAAGUGGGGAGUUGUUCCUUCUUCCCUGAAAGCACAGUAGCUACAUAAUUUUUUGGGGAGUCUUCUGUACAUGAAAUUUGUCUGUUCUCUUUCAUUUAUUUACUUGUAUCUGAAUUCACAUAUAUUUACUUUAUAGCUUGGAUUAUGAUCCAAUCUUACUUAAAAUAUUUUUUGUUAUUCAAAUGUACCAGCUUUGCCAUUAGGUGCUUUUUAGUUGCCUUCUGUGUCCCUUUGACAUAUGCCCAUCAAAGCAGUUGAUCUUUGUUUUUAUUGUCUCCAUGCUUUCUGUUGCUACAAGAUACUCCAAGCUCAUCUCGGGCCUUUCUUGUUUCAGUUCUGGAAUCAGUCAUUUCUCCAAGGAAUCUCAGGUCUUUUUUAUCAGAGAAGGGAACUAGAAGCCAAAAUAUGAGUGUGAGAUAGGCUCAUUGUUUUUUGCUUCCUGGUCCUCUCAGCUGACAGAGAAAAAAAAUACGUGUGUAUGUACUGACCCAGAUAUAUACAUAUAUCCAUAAACAUUUCUACAUGGAACCUCUGUAUCUGUAUCAACCUAAACAUGACUUUCUGCUGAUUCUCCAAUUCUAAUCCAUUGUUGCAGGAGUCCUUCUAAACUGUUCCCCUUAAUCUCUGUAAUCUCCCACUCCAGCAGUGAGAAAACUGGCUCCCACUAUCUGCUAUUUAUUUAAUUCUUCAAUUCCAGUAUACAUGGAUAACACUUUCAGAAUUGUUAACACUAUUCUGUGGUACACAAUUCCAUCAACUAGAGUAGAAUUCUUAUAUACAGUGUCUUUUGCCUUAAUUUUAUAGCGUCCUCUCACUUAUAAAGUUGCUUACGUCAGCACUCCCCACCCUCCCCUAAGACACACCUUUCAGUAAGGUGACUGCAUAUAUUUGUAAUACAAUUAGACUGCAUUGUCACAUUCUGCAUUCCAUCUUGGGAUCUCCCACCUCCUAGAUAAUUAUUUUUAAUUUGCAUGCAUUAAAGUUCCAUCAGUUGGUUUUGACAAAGUCAUAGUGUCAUGUUCAUACCAUUGCAUUAUGAUAGAGAAUAGUCUCACCACCCUAAAACAGCUCCUGUGUUCACUCAUUCAGCCCUCCCCUGCCCUCUGCCCUGAAUUUCUGGCAAUCAUUACUCUUUUUACCAUCUCUAUAGUUUUCCCUUUUCUAGAAUGCUAUAUAAUUAGAAUCAUUUUGUACCUUGUAGAUAAAUACAUUCUUUCACUUAGCAACAUGUAUUUAAGACUCACUCAUGUAUCUAAAAUGUUUCUUAUUUCUAAAAAAAGGGAACAAACUUCAUAUAUUUCAUAUACACAAUUUUAAGUGCAUAAUACAUCCCACCCUAUCCCCCCUUACCCUCACUCUCCCUCCUUUUCUUACUUUUCUUUUAAUUUUUACAAUGACAUAGUUUCAAUUUUAUUUAUGUGACUCAAUAAUCUAUUUCUUUUUAUCUCUGAAUAAUGUUCUGUUGUAUAAAAU